UAAAACUUUUGUUUGUAAUUUCGAAAGUUGCAAGGAUUAGUUAAAGACUUAAUCGUAUUGUCAAAACUUUAUAAAGAAAACUACACUUUAUUUUAAGAAAUGAACAUUGUUUUUUCUGUAGUGCGGAUUGUUAGUGAAAUAAGUUUAAUACCCCCAAAACAUGGAAAUUGGAAUAGUAAGGCAUAGAUAACCAAAUGAGAUUGUAUGAAUACCUGUCAGUGACUUUUAUAUGUUAAUCACGAAUAACCUGAGUAGUAUUGCUGUGAAUAGUAUGGUUCACGAGAAAUUCAGAGUGCAUGAGAGUUUUAUGAUCUGGUCUUAUAUUGUAUUUUUGUGUGAGACUCUUUGAAAGUGUGCAUAUUUUAUCACGUUUAGCAUUUAUCUACAAAAUAAGAGUAAGGUCUCUGGUGAUUUCAUAGUAAUUUAUAUCAUAUGAUAUUAACUGUCACGUUUAUGACGAACAAGAUAUUUUCUAUACAUGUAGUACUCUGCAAUUUGUUACAAGAUGCUUAUUCCACAAAGUUAUCCAUACCAGUUACUUGUUUGUUUUUAUAUAUUGAAAGUUGAGAGAAUUUUGAAUAUUAUGAAAGUUAGAAAGAUAUAUUGGUAUUAUUGAUCAUGUAUUUUAUUUGAUUAUGGUAUGAAUUCCACAUAUGCAAAAAUUCAUUGGGAAUUUUCUUUCUGCCGGGGGAUGUUAUAUAUUUAGAUAUAUAUUAUAUGUAUAUGUGUAAUUCAGUUUUAUAUGUUUUACGGAACUGUACAAGUGAUGUCCGGAAACGCCUUUUUGUUUUACUCUCUCUCUUAUUAAAAAUGUCGUUAAC
rnacentral:lncRNA from 1 species